AUUUUCCGGUUGAUCCUGCCGGACCCUACUGCUAUCGGGGUGGGACUAAAACAUGCGAGUCGAACGACUUCAAGCCAUGAUGAAGUCGUGGCGCACGGCUCAGUAACACGUGGCUAACCUACCCUUGAGACGGAGACAACCCCGGGAAACUGGGGCUAAUCCCAGAUAGACGAGAACUCCUGGAAUGGGUUCUCGUCCAAAAGGCAUCAAGAUCAUGCUUCUUGAUGUCGCUCAAGGAUGGGGCCGCGGCCGACCAGGCUGUUGGUGAGGUAACGGCUCACCAAACCUUUAACCGGUACGGGCCGUGGGAGCGGGAGCCCGGAGAUGGGAACUGAGACAAGGUCCCAGGCCCUACGGGGCGCAGCAGUUGCGAAAACUCCGCAAUGCACGAAAGUGUGACGGGGCUACCCCGAGUGCUGUCCGCUGAGGAUAGCUUUUCCCUGGUGUAAGGAUCCGGGGGAAUAAGGAGAGGGCAAGUCUGGUGUCAGCCGCCGCGGUAAUACCAGCUCUCCGAGUGGUAGGGAUGCUUAUUGGGCUUAAAGCGUCCGUAGCUGGCUUUUCAAGUCUCUCGUUAAAUCCAGCGAUUCAAUCGUUGGACUGCGGGAGAUACUGUGAGGCUUGGGGGCGGGAGAAGCCGACGGUAUUUCCGGUGUAGGGGUAAAAUCCUAUAAUCCCGGGAGGACCACCAGUGGCGUAGGCGGUCGGCUAGCACGCGCCCGACGGUGAGGGACGAAAGCUGGGGGAGCAAACCGGAUUAGAUACCCGGAUAGUCCCAGCUGUAAACGAUGCGGGCUAGGUGUUGAAGCGGCCACGAGCCGCUUCAGUGCCGCAGGGAAGCCAUUAAGCCCGCCGCCUGGGGAGUACGGCCGCAAGGCUGAAACUUAAAGGAAUUGGCGGGGGAGCACCACAAGGGGUGAAGCUUGCGGUUUAAUUGGAUUCAACGCCGGAAAU
rnacentral:rRNA from 1 species